ensembl:misc_RNA Y_RNA Y RNA
AGUUGGUCUGAAGGGUGUAAGUUAUUGUUAAACUGAUUAACACUGUCUCCCCCCACACACCCAUACUUGACUGUGUGUUUU